CCUACGGGAGGCAGCAGUGAGGAAUAUUGGUCAAUGGGCGGAAGCCUGAACCAGCCAAGUCGCGUGAGGGAUUAAGGCCCUGCGGGUCGUAAACCUCUUUUGCCGGGGAGCAGAAGUCCGGACGUGUCCGGGCCGGGAGAGUACCCGGAGAAAAAGCAUCGGUGAAUUCCGUGCCAGCAGCCGCGGUACUACGGGGGAUGCGAGCUUUAUCCGGAUUUAUUGGGUUUAAAGGGUGCGUAGGCGGGCCUUUAAGCCGGCGGUAAAAUGUAGGGGCUCAACCCGGCCUGCCGUCGAAACUGGGUGCCGUGAGUGGGCGAGAAGUAUGCGGAAUGCGUGGUGUAGCGGUGAAAUGCAGAGAUAUCACGCAGAACCCCGAUUGCGAAGGCAGCAUACCGGCGCCCUACUGACGCUGAGGCACGAAAGUGUGGGUAUCGAACAGGAUUAGAUACCCGAGUAGUC
rnacentral:rRNA from 1 species